AGCUCGGGGAGUGGUGGUCUCCCUUUCCUGGAGUCAUUUGUGGGAGUUAGGGUCUUAUCCUGAUCUUUCCUCGUCCCCCGCUCCCCCGUCCUCCGAGGUGGCAGCUGCGUAGGUAUUUAAUUUGCCUCCCGCCCCGCCGCCCCCCACGGCUAUAGCUGGUUUGAUAAUCCUGGAGCUCUCAAAUAUCCAAAGAGUUGGAAGUGUACUCUAUUAGGAUUUUGACAAGUCCCAUACACUGAUCAGAGAAGUCUGGAACGUUUUUUCUUAGAGUUCCAGAAUUGAGACUGAAGUGUACCCAGAGACACAAAGAAAUACAGAAGUCCAGAAUGAUCAAAUGAGAUCACUACCCAAUGAAAUGAUGGGCCGAGGAGCCAGAAGUUGUCCUACUACCUGCUUUCCAGGUCCAGAUUCCACGAGAGCCUUCUGGGCUCCCACCAGAGACCCUCAGUGAAGACUCUGUUGAAGACUUUAAGACCAUGCUAGAAAGCCUCCCGGCAGAGGUUCAGGAAGUUCUGCUAUGAGGAUGCAGCUGGCCCCAGGGAUGUCCUCAGGCAUCUCUAGGACCUUGCUGGACGGUGGUGGCUGAGACCUGAUAUCCACACAAAGGAGCAGACUGUGGAAAUGCUGGUGCAGGAGCAAUUCCAGGCUGUCCUGCCCGAGGAGCUCAGAGCUCAAGCACAGAGAUGUCAGCCUGGAAUCAGAAUCACUGGCUAAGUCUUGCUGCUUGCUUCUUGCUCAGCCUGCAUAUGAGAAGUCAACCAAGCAUUCUCUUGGAUGCAAGAUCCAACUGCACCCAUGGGAAAUCUGAACUUCCACUUUCUUUGAGCUUGUCUUUGGUUGUAAUAAGAAUCCAUCAAAACCCAUGUCUGGAUCUCUCUUUGGCUGAGGCAGCUUUAUUUCCUACAGAAAGAGUUUCUCUGUCCUCUUGUUAGGACAAUCAGCCUGCUGCUUUGGGCUUUUCCAAGAGCCUAUUUUUCAUCUGCUGGAUGCCUCUUUUUUUUUUUUUUUUUUUUUUUGCACUGUGUGACAUGCUUUAAUAUAUAUAUUUUUUAUGUAUCCAAAGAGGUAAUCAACUUUAACUUUCAGAAUUCAUGAAUCUUGGUUUGGUGGCAUGAAUGAAAGGUUAUGUAACCCCACCAGUAACUCAUUUGGGGUGCCCUUGAAAUAUUAAAGUUUGGUCCUCAAUAAA
rnacentral:lncRNA from 1 species